rnacentral:tRNA from 1 species
GCAGUGUGGUUCAGUGGUAGAGUUCUCGCCUUCCAUGCAAGAGACCCAGGUUCGAUUCCCAGACAAUGCA